ensembl:misc_RNA
UUCAGAGCCCUGGAAACUGAAGUCCUGUAUUUAUCAACAGAACAUGCACAGCAUUCAGAGAGCACUAGCAGUUCAAGAUUUCUUAGCCUGUUCUACCAAUGUGCCUCAUCUAGAAGGAACAGCACUAGCAGUUAGAUGUUCAGUCUCUAUGCCCAAUUAACCACUGGUUUCC